rnacentral:lncRNA from 1 species
UGAUCCAGUGUUCUGAUCCAGAGCAGGGAAAUGCUCUCUGUAGUGUAGGGUCUCCACCACCAGUGCCCCAUCUUUGGUCUUGACUCCACAGGCUGGACUGCACUGAGACUUCUGCAUUUCAGGAAUGUGACUCCUGUCCUUGACCUCGUCUGCAGAUAAAUACAACAUGCCCCGUAGUGCUGAGUGGUUUGGGAAGAAUGUCAGCCAGACAAGAGAGGGGAGAUAAUGGAAAGACAGAAGGACCCUUCUGGGAGUCACAGAAGAGUUGUUCACUCAGGUACUGACCUUAAAGUAAUUCUUCACACCCUUUGAAAUCUCCUAAAGCUUUCCCCAAAAUUGCAAGAACUGAAGAGUGCUAGUCUUAAAAAUUGUAAAACAAAUGGAUAAUUUGUAGGAUAAUUGCCUGUGUUAUAUUUCUCCCCAUGCCACAAAGGAAAAAGCAGCCUUAUGCCAUGUACCUCCCAGGCCUGGUGUAACUCGAAUCCAAAAGCUAUGAAGGAA